GGAUUAUUGGGCGUAAGAGCUCGAUAGGCGGUUUGUCACGUUCUGAUGUGAAAACCCAGUGCUUAACAUCGGACCUGCAUUCGAUACGGGCUGACUAGAGUGUUGUAGGGGAGACUGGAAUUCCUGGUGUAGCGGUGAAAUGCGCAGAUAUCAGGAAGAACACCGGUGGCGAAGGCGGGUCUCUGGGCAAUUACUGACGCUGAGGAGCGAAAGCGUGGGGAGCAAACAGGAUUAGAUACCCUGGUAGUCCACGCCGUAAACGGUGGGCGCUAGGUGUGGGGAACAUUCCACGUUUUCCGUGCCGCAGCUAACGCAUUAAGCGCCCCGCCUGGGGAGUACGGCCGCAAGGCUAAAACUCAAAUGAAUUGACGG
rnacentral:rRNA from 1 species